rnacentral:lncRNA from 1 species
GGAGAUUGGGCCCAGACAGAGAAUGUAUGUGAGAUUUGUAGAGAGAGAAAGAGGCCCGGGAGGGCUUAGAUUUGUAGAGUGAGAAAAGAGAGGGAUUGGUACACUUGUUGGAGCUCUGUUUGGCCGUUGCUUUCCACCAUUUCGACCGCCCUCCAGUUUAGAGGUUAGAAAAAGGGGAAAAAAAAAACUUCCAAUUUUUUUUCAAAAUUUUUGCGGUUUUACCCAAUCGAAUCGCACGAUUUGAGCUAGGGGUUAAUUUAACAUUGUUGAAUUUGUACCAAGAAGUUUCAGUUUGGAAUUCUGAUUCAAUUUUAAAUUCAAUUCAAUUCGAAUUCUCACCUUGUCGAUCAGAAAUGGGAUUUGCUGAGAAUUCGAGCUUCCGAUCUCGAUAACAAGGUUGCAAUUUUAGGGCUAGUAAGGACAUGGAUGUUGAUUCCUCAAUGGGGCAGCCGGAGACUGAUCAGUAUUCNNNNN